rnacentral:misc_RNA from 1 species
UUAAUGAUUUCUAUUUAACUCAGACGACACAAACAGAAGAUUUUUGCUGUUCUUCAGCAGACUUGAAGGCCUACCAAAGCAACAUGCGAUCGUUGUACACACAGGGUGGGAGGUUGGGCCAUAGGACCCUAACUCGUUAAUGAUCCUUCCGCAGGUUCACCUACGGAAA